UAAGAAUAUUCCGCAAUGGACGAAAGUCUGACGGAGCGACGCCGCGUGGAUGAAGAAGGCCGAAAGGUUGUAAAAUCCUUUUAUUGAUGAAGAAUAAGUAUGGUAGGGAAUGACCAUAUGAUGACAUUAGUCGGUGAAUAAGCCCCGGCUAACUACGUGCCAGCAGCCGCGGUAACACGUAGGGGGCAAGCGUUGUUCGGAAUUAUUGGGCGUAAAGGGCAUGUAGGCGGUUUGGUAAGCCUGAUGUGAAAUCCUGCAGCUUAACUGUAGAAUUGCAUUGGGUACUGCCAGACUUGAAUCAUAGAGGGGAAACUAGAAUUUCAGGUGUAGGGGUGGAAUCUGUAGAUAUCUGAAAGAAUACCGGUGGCGAAGGCGGGUUUCUAGCUAAUGAUUGACGCUGAGGUGCGAAAGUGCGGGGAGCAAAC
rnacentral:rRNA from 1 species